UCAGUAUCUGCAACCUGCAUCGCAAGAGCUGUAGGUCUCUGAAGCAAGAGCAGCGGAAGCAGGUCUCGCAGUGCACGGUGCCUCAGUACCUGCCUGCAGAACCUCUGCCAGAGCAGCUUCUUCGGGGUUUAUCUCCAGCCCCAGGGCCAAAAGCUGCACRUUCUGACCCGAGAGCUGCAGCUGCGCGAAGCCAACAAGAUCCUCCUCGGCGGCAGGAGCAGCUUGCUGGGCUCU